UACGGAGGGUGCAAGCGUUGUUCGGAUUUACUGGGCGUAAAGCGCGCGCAGGUGGCUGACCAAGUCGGAGGUGAAAUCUUGAGGCUCAACCUCGAGGCUGCUCCCGAAACUGUUCGUCUAGGGACUGGUAGAGGCUGGUAGAAUUCCCGGUGUAGCGGUGGAAUGCGUAGAGAUCGGGAAGAAUACCCGUGGCGAAGGCGGCCAGCUGGGCCAGGUCCGACACUGAGGCGCGAAAGCGUGGGGAGCAAACAGG
rnacentral:rRNA from 1 species